CUUUGUUUUCCUAUGGCCACUGAAGCCUGCUUUGUCCACUGGUCUGGCAUGCUAAAAGUGAUGGAGAAUUAAUGCCCUUUGGAAGCAGCCUCAAACUGACUAAAGGAAAUUGUCCUGCUGAAGGAGCACCUUCUCUCUGCAAAAUGCCUUCUUUUGCUAGAGGACUACCAGAACCAUGCAUUGGCUCUUAAGGUUUCUGCUGACACGUCAUUGUCUAGCCUUACAAACAGAAACACAUGCCUCUGCCAGUCCCCACAUGGGAUCCCAGAUGAGAAACCUCUCAAGGAGAAUAACAAAAUGCAGUUGGAAUCAAAGUGUAUGAAGCCUCCCAGACACACCCAGCAGGAGUCACCAGGAAGCAGCUGGGAAGAGGCUGACAGCCCACCAGCAAUGAGACCACAGGAGCUGCUGCUCCCGGGAGGGAGUCUGCUGUCAUCCUCCACUUGCUAGAGUUCUCCCUCCUCUCUGCUUGUUACACACUGCUUCCCUGCUCUAGAGCUUGCUCCAGAGAUGACUUCAACAGAACAGAGUGGCUCUUCCUUACUUGAAACACAGAUCCAUUGUACCUGUGGCUUUGGCUCUGGAUUGUCUUUCUACUUAGAGGAGAACAAGGGUGUGACUGAGCCACAUGAUGGAAAGUAAAGGUACAACCAAAAAUUGUGGCGUUUCCUCUUGUUUAUGACAUUAAAUUUCCCUCAGCCUCUACCCUCAUGCUGCCUGCUUCUCUAAGGCUGCUCCCAGGGAACAAGUUAAUAAUCUCAAAUACAGUAAUUUUUGCCCCUUUCAGAGGUAAGAGUUUAACAGGGGACAAAGGACGAAUUUUCCAUCAUGGCAUUUCAAACAUCAGUAAAAUGUUGAUUAUUUUUCAGCACUCUUGAUAUUAUAUCUGAGUAGCUCUUGUAGAAAUUAAUGCAAGCUGUGUUUUCACUGCAAUGUGCCCUUACUGUAUUCACAUGCAGCGAGAGGUUAUGCUGAUGGAACUUGGCCAUGAUUUGUGAUAUUGUUUAUUUACAUGUAUUAAUAUAAAAUAAAAUGCAACGUGCUAAGUAACAUUUAAGCCCUCAUUAACCUGUUCCUGAACUAUUUUUCCAACUCCAUUGAU
rnacentral:lncRNA from 10 species